rnacentral:rRNA from 1 species
CAGCAGCCGCGGUAAUACGUAGGUGGCAAGCGUUGUUCGGAAUUAUUGGGCGUAAAGGGCUCGCAGGCGGUUUCUUAAGUCUGAUGUGAAAGCCCCCGGCUCAACCGGGGAGGGUCAUUGGAAACUGGGAAACUUGAGUGCAGAAGAGGAGAGUGGAAUUCCACGUGUAGCGGUGAAAUGCGUAGAGAUGUGGAGGAACACCAGUGGCGGAGGCGACUCUCUGGUCUGUAACUGACGCUGAGGAGCGAAAGCGUGGGGAGCGAACAGGAUUAGAUACCCCAGUAGUCCCUGUCUCUUAAAC